AGUCAUAUGCUUGUCUCAAAGAUUAAGCCAUGCAUGUCUCAGUACAAGCCAAAUUAAGGUGAAACCGCGAAAGGCUCAUUAAAUCAGUUAUGGUUCCUUAGAUCGUACCCACACUUACUUGGAUAACUGUGGUAAUUCUAGAGCUAAUACAUGCAAAUAGAGCUCCGACCGGAGACGGAAGGAGCGCUUUUAUUAGAUCAAAACCAAUCGGUGGCGGCUNGCCGUCACCGUACUCCUUGGUGACUCUGAAUAACUUGUUGCUGAUCGCACGGUCUCGAACCGGCGACGCAUCUUUCAAAUGUCUGCCUUAUCAACUGUCGAUGGUAGGUUCUGCGCCUACCAUGGUUGUAACGGGUAACGGGGAAUCAGGGUUCGAUUCCGGAGAGGGAGCCUGAGAAACGGCUACCACAUCCAAGGAAGGCAGCAGGCGCGCAAAUUACCCACUCCCGGCACGGGGAGGUAGUGACGAAAAAUAACGAUACGGGACUCAUCCGAGGCCCCGUAAUCGGAAUGAGUACACUCUAAACCCUUUAACGAGGAUCAAUUGGAGGGCCAGUCUGGUGCCAGCAGCCGCGGUAAUUCCAGCUCCAAUAGCGUAU
rnacentral:rRNA from 1 species